CCCUUGUGAGACGUUGGCAGAGUGCGUGUCUUUUAUCGGGCUCGGCGCAGCGCCGCGCCACCGCCGCGACGUCCAUUUUUAAUGACGCGACGUGACAGGCGGGUCGGCGCACAGAAAAAUACAAGGCCCACGCCUUGUCCGCCCCGUCAAGGACGCUGCCAACGGCAGCCGAUGGCCCGAUACGCGGCGUUUUAUUUCACUCACCAUUCGCCGCUGCUCUCAUCGUUUAUUUUCUCAAUCGUUCAAUGUUUGUCGACAUUGGAGUAUCGUAAACGAGCAACAGCUCUUAUAUCAGUAACGGAAGAAUGACGCCACUGCAUCACAUUAGAUGCAGGACUUGACACCGCAGACUCUUCUACAUGUGUGGCGCCAUCUCAGAGGCAUGUGCUUACAGCUUCUCAGGAAAAAUCUCAUUGCUUCUAGGAUAACAUGGACAAACAUAAAAACUUUGAAGAGUGCCAGUGACAUUGUAAUUGUACCAUAGACAACAAAAUAUUUGAAUUGAACAGUAUCAACAGUGUCUUGAUAAGAUAUUACGUAACGUAAUGUAAUCGAAUCAAAUAAUGUGAUGUUGAGGGAAUUAGAAUAGAAAAUGAGACACUAGAAAUAAUCGGACACCAAAGAAGUGAACAUUGCUGAAAUAAAUUACCAGCAGCAAGAAAACAUUUCCGAAAAAAAAGUGAACGUCGAAUAUAAAUGUGUUGAGAAGGUUUGUAUUAAGGUAUUUUUCGGGAGUGUACCCUUGUAAGGAAUUCACACAUUAAGUGGCAAACAGCUCAUAAGUAAAGACAAUAGAAGCUGUUGAAAUAUUGUGCUCCGGAAGCAUUCUCAGGAUUACACGAGAAAGUCGAACAACUAACGAAGAAAUACUAAACAGAACUGGGGGAAAAUAAAUUGGUGGAGGGAGUUGGAGUCAUUCUGCAGAGGCGAAGUGGCUUGCACAAGAAAAUUAUCCUUAAGAGCUACAUCAAACCAAUCUACGGACUGAAGCCCACAACUAUAACGAAGAUGUGGAACGCCAGACACGAUAAGGAACAAAGAUGAGAUAGAACACUGGUAGUUGCAGUGCGUUACACUGUGUAGAUGAGACUGAGGAAGAAAAUUCUAAAAUUGCAGUCCACAAAUGCAGAUACCGAGGUCAGCCUAGGACUACCCAACACAGGAUCAGCUUCGAACUGAAGAUAUCUGAAGAGAGAUCUUUUUUUUUUUUUGACGCUCCGGCAGAAUUCUCAAGAUUACACGAGAAAGUCGAACAGCUAACGAAGAAAUACUAAACAGAACUGGGGGAAAAUAAAUUUGUGGAGGGAGUUGGAGUCAUUCUGCAGAGGCGAAGUGGCUUGCACAAGAAAAUUAUCCUUAAGAGCUACAUCAAACCAAACUUCGGACUGGGGCCCACAACUAUAACGAAGAUGUGGAACGCCAGACACGAUAAGGAACAAAGAUGAGAUAGAACACUGGUAGUUGCAGUGCGUUACACUGUGUAGAUGAGACUGAGGAAGAAAAUUCUGAAAUUGCAGUCCACAAAUGCAGAUACCGAGGUCAGCCUAGGACUACCCAACACAGGAUCAGCUUCGAACUGAAGAUAUCUGAAGAGAGAUCUUUUUUUUUUUUUUUUUUUUUUUUUUUGACGCUCCGGCAGAAUUCUCAAGAUUACACGAGAAAGUAGAACAGCUAACGAAGAAAUACUAAACAGAACUGGGGGAAAAUAAAUUUGUGGAGGGAGUUGGAGUCAUUCUGCAGAGGCGAAGUGGCUUGCACAAGAAAAUUAUCCUUAAGAGCUACAUCAAACCAAACUUCGGACUGGGGCCCACAACUAUAACGAAGAUGUGGAACGCCAGACACGAUAAGGAACAAAGAUGAGAUAGAACACUGGUAGUUGCAGUGCGUUACACUGUGUAGAUGAGACUGAGGAAGAAAAUUCUGAAAUUGCAGUCCACAAAUGCAGAUACCGAGGUCAGCCUAGGACUACCCAACACAGGAUCAGCUUCGAACUGAAGAUAUCUGAAGAGAGAUCUUUUUUUUUUUUUUUUUUUUUUUUUUUUGACGCUCCGGAAGCAUUCUCAAGAUUACACGAGAAAGUCGAACAGCUAACGAAGAAAUACUAAACAGAACUGGGGGAAAAUAAAUUUGUGGAGGGAGUUGGAGUCAUUCUGCAGAGGCGAAGUGGCUUGCACAAGAAAAUUAUCCUUAAGAGCUACAUCAAACCAAACUUCGGACUGGGGCCCACAACUAUAACGAAGAUGUGGAACGCCAGACACGAUAAGGAACAAAGAUGAGAUAGAACACUGGUAGUUGCAGUACGUUACACUGUGUAGAUGAGACUGAGGAAGAAAAUUCUGAAAUUGCAGUCCACAAAUGCAGAUACCGAGGUCAGCCUAGGACUACCCAACACAGGAUCAGCUUCGAACUGAAGAUAUCCGAAGAGAGAUCUUUUUUUUUUUUUUUUUUGACGUUACUGAACACUUUAAGUGAAGAUAGGUACAGUCGACAAUCAUGCCUGUUCGUAUGUCUUGAUAAGCUCGUAAACCUUCAGUUGUGUACAGCUGCAGCACUGGGAACGCAACACGCACCGGAAAUUGUAACGAUUUUACUUAUAGAUCGUUUUGAUUUUCUGUAAUUGAGUAUAAUUACUGCAUAUUGUUUUGUAUAUACAUUGUAACACUUACGUUUAUCUGUUGGAAACGCUGAGAUGUUUCAGCCUCGAAUGUGCAAAUGAGAAUAGAGAUGAGUCGUUACGUUGUAGCUGUAUGGCAGCGUUUGAGGGUCUGGGUUUUCCCCAAUGUAAUUAUGUUUCGUGUUGUUACAUAUUAACCCUGUGGAUUACUAAUUGUUUCCUUUCAGUUUUGCUGUUACGAUAUGUUUUGUUAAUACUUUUCUUGUGAAAUGUUAUGCUGUUUUUCUAUUGUACAAUAAAAUGAAUGUUAAAUGUGAA